UUGAAGUAAUCUUGAACAAGUUAUUUGUGUUUCCUUAUACGGGCAUUGUUGAGUUCGAUAUAUUUUUCUGUUUAAAUUCCUUAUAACUAUGGAAAAGAAGUCUUUUAGAAGUCUUUUAAACUUCUGAAUAAGUUAUAUAUAGAUAUACACAAUUUCAAAUUCGAAUGUUCUUCAGCUAAAAGCUAGACGAUGAUUCAUGCUGAAGCUUGUGUGAAAUUUUUGCUUCUUCGUGACAAAUUGUAUCCUCCAUAAUUUCAUCGUACGUUGAAACGAUUUUUUUUAAUAUAUGUAAAUGAUGUUGGCUAGAAGAACUUCGAUUUUAGAAUACGCUCCUGAACACUGUCCCUCAAGACUCGUUUCCGUGCUCCCUCGACGUAGCUCCAAGCAAUACACGGGGUCCCAUUCCGUGCAGAAGUGCAAUGUACCCGAUAAUCCGAAUGCCGGAGAUAUAUACGCAUAUUUCACAAAGGGAGAAAACUCAUGCCAGGAUAAUAGCUAUAAAACAAAAGUGCAAUGUUAAAUUUGUAUUAAACUGACUGUACAUCCGGAAUUACAAUUGAGGUUAUACAUGAUGAAACAUAUCAUGGGUUGAAUAUUUGAG